rnacentral:sRNA from 2 species
UAGCGCGUCAUCUGGGGAGUAGCCAGCCGUUCCGCGCCAUGCGGACGGGCCAUAUGUCAACAUAUUUGGCCGAGAGGCCAUGGCAUAUGGGAGGCGGAUCGCAAGCAUCCGCAUCGGGCGAGACCAAUGGCAUCGGCGCUUUUCUGUCCGGCCGGGCGGGAGGCGACGGUGGCAUUGCGUCUGUUCACCUCCGCCC